rnacentral:tRNA from 1 species
AGGCCUGUAGUUUAAUGGUAGAACAAAGAUCUCCAAAGUCUUUGGUGGGAGUUCGAUUCUCUCCAGGCCUG